GCCCCCUGAGAGACACAGCAGUCACUGGUGCUGACAAGGGGCACUUUCACAGGGAGCCACAAGUUCAUUUUUUCUGCUCAGAAUGAGGAACUAUCGGGAUUGGCUGGGCCUUCGUGGAUCAGCCAUUAUGCCUAUGGUACCAGGCACAAUAGCAAGGCGGUUAGGCACGAGGAAGUAGGCAAUUAGCACACUUUCUGACUCAGCCAUAAAAGGGAAAACGCUUCACCAAACCACAGUCUUCCAAAUUUGCUUCUCCUUAAUUAUUGCAUACAUGAAAUCGCUCCGUGUAGAAAAGCUGCG
rnacentral:lncRNA from 1 species